rnacentral:rRNA from 1 species
CCUACGGGUGGCUGCAGUGGGGAAUUUUCCGCAAUGGGCGAAAGCCUGACGGAGCAAUACCGCGUGAGGGAGGAAGGCUCUUGGGUUGUAAACCUCUUUUCUCAGGGAAUAAGCAAGUGAAGGUACCUGAGGAAUCAGCAUCGGCUAACUCCGUGCCAGCAGCCGCGGUAAUACGGAGGAUGCAAGCGUUAUCCGGAAUGAUUGGGCGUAAAGCGUCCGUAGGUAGCAGUGUGUGUCUAUUGUUAAAGAGUUUGGCUUAACCAAAUAAAGGCGGUAGAAACUACACAGCUAGAGUGCGUUCGGGGCAGAGGGGAUUCCUGGUGUCGCGGUGAAAUGCGUAGCGAUCAGGAAGGACACCGGUGGCGCAAGCGCUCUGCUAGGCCGCAACUGACACUGAGGGACGAAAGCUAGGGGAGCGAAUGGGAUUCGCUGCCCCAGUAGUC